CAACCAAAUCAGCAAGACGCGGAUCAGUCGGUGUCAUCUGUCGAGCCAUUGAUGGCUCGUUCAUGGGAGCUUCACCUAUAUGUUUUGAGGGUGUCUCUGACCCGGCGUCUCUUGAAGCCCUAGCUUGCAGGGAGGCUUUGGCUUUAGCAUCUGAUCUAAUGCAAACACAAGUGGUGGUCGCAUCGGACUGCAAGGAAGUAGUCUCCAAUAUUUCUGAAGGCAAUGGAGGAACACAUGCACAUAUUAUCCGGGAGAUCAAGCAAAUGGAGUCUGAAUUUCAAUCUUGUUCUUUUAUUUUUGAACGUAGAACCACAAAUAUUGAGGCACAUAGCCUCGCUAAAUACGCGCUUAGUCUGUCUAUUGGUCGCCAUGUUUGGCUGCUUCAAGCUCCAAACUUGAGAUGUAUUCCUCAGAACAUUCUUGAGUAAUAAAGCGUGUGUUUUAGCCUAGAAAAAAAACCUCUCCUCUACUGCCUCCAGGGCUCCAGGCUCGCGAAUGACCACAUAAUGGAGAAAAAAAGCAUGGACACCGCCGCUGCUUCAGACUCGAGGGUGUAGAGCCCCAUGGCUUCGUUGAGGGCUGCGGGGAGAAGGGGAGCAGCUUCCUGCUGGGGUAGCCGAUCUGGGAGGAUGCUGGCGGUGGCGCUGGGGUGGGCAACGGGAGAAGGACGCCGACUCGCGGUCCCGCACCUGCUGCUUUGCGGUCAUCAACCACGGCAUCGUGCACGAGAAGCCGCCGCUCGACACCGUCAAGUCUCACCCCCGAGCACUAGCGUCGUGAUCCGCGCGGAGAGCCCAGCCGUCGAGCAAGAUCCCCUCGGCGGCCUCCUGCUCCUCGCCGGCGAGGCCCUCGAACGAGCAACCAAAUCCAGGAAGGACACGCCCUUUAGGGUUAUUAAUCGUAUUUUUUAUCGCUCGACAGAGCUUGUGCAUAUCGCCAGGAUUUGAGUAUUCAGAAGCCCACAAAUAGAGGCACUAUUUGAACUCAAUUUUGUCAUGGUUUACAGUCAGGUUACAUCUGACCCACAACUUAUAUAUGGGCUGUUUGGUUCCCAGCCACACCUUGCCACACUUUGACACGCCUCAUCUUAGGCAAGAUUGACCAAAUUAGGUAGGUGUUUGGUUCUAGCCACACCUAAGGUAAGAAUAUUUUUAUGACCAGUGAACCCCACUGAAGGAAAUAUGCCUUAGAGGCAAUAAUAAAGUUGUUAUUUAUA